UGAAGAAAAUGUCUAAGAAUUUGGGAAAUCGUAUCGUUUUGUUUUAUCAAAUUAAAACAAACCGCCAGCGAAAUUGGAAAAAUAAGCGGUGUGACUAAAACAAGUCAUUUUAGUUCAGAAUAGAAGUAAUUUAGCACCUUCUGGCAACUUGGCGGUCGACCAAGGAUAUUGAAUGACAAUGAUACUCGUUAUAUGAAACGUUGAUUUGUAGAAACUCUAAAUUAACCCCUAAGGACUACUCAAGUCAUUAACAAGUCAGUCAAAAAGUGGACAGCCAAAGGAACAUUGAAAGCGUUGAAUUUUGAGAAACACACGACCGAGCAAUACUGUAUGGCCAGCUCAGCAAAAAAAACAAAAAGUUCAUGAUACUAAGUUUAACAGAGAAUUUCAAACUUGGUGGACUGAGAAAUAUGGCAUGAUUAGUAAAGAUGACAAAGCGGUGUGUGUUUUAUGUUCUGGAACAGUGGUAUAAUAUGUAGAACAUCGUCUGUUAAACGACAUUUUGAAACAAAUCUUAAAUCUGUUAGUCAAAAAAGCGAGGCAGAGCAAAAAAAAUUAAUUGCAAGUGCAUUGAAUGACAGAAAUAAACAGUCAACGUCUAUGAUUAAAUUUGUUGGCAAAAAUUGUAAUACAAGCGCGGCAAGUUACGCGGCUGCAAAUGUCAUUGCUCGGCAUGGUAAACCUUUUCAAGAAGGUGAGUUUUUGAAGGAAGCCUGGUUAGCAUGCGCGCCCUCUCUUUUUGAAGAUUUCGACAAUAAAGAUAAGAUAAUUCAGCACAUCAAAGAUACUCCUCUAUCAAGAAACACAAUAAAAGAAAGAAUCUUAAAAC